rnacentral:rRNA from 1 species
GUGUAGCUAGGGGGCAGAAAGGGUGGUGAAACGUGGGGGGAAAGCGAUAUGCGGGAUCAGUGGGGUGAAGGGGUGCGGAGGUGUCUUGUCAAGCCAGGAGUGAAAGGCAUUUGUGCAAACAAUGUAAGGCUGUUGAACUGAUUAGCUUGGGUGCAGGAGAGGUAAGUGGAAGUCCUAGUGUAGAGGUGAAAUUCGUAGAUAUGAGGAGGAACACCAGUGGCGAAGGCGACUUACUGGACUGUAACUGACACUGAGGCACGAAAGCGUGGGUAGCGAACAGGAUUAGAUACCCUAGUAGUC